rnacentral:rRNA from 1 species
UUGAACUGAAGAGUUUGAUCCUGGCUCAGAUUGAACGCUGGCGGCAUGCCUUACACAUGCAAGUCGAACGGCAGCACGGGUGCUUGCACCUGGUGGCGAGUGGCGAACGGGUGAGUAAUACAUCGGAACAUGUCCUGUAGUGGGGGAUAGCCCGGCGAAAGCCGGAUUAAUACCGCAUACGAUCCACGGAUGAAAGCGGGGGACCUUCGGGCCUCGCGCUAUAGGGUUGGCCGAUGGCUGAUUAGCUAGUUGGUGGGGUAAAGGCCUACCAAGGCG